GGGAAGGUGGCUUAGUGGUAGAGCGCUUGCCUUGCAAGCAUGAGGCCC
rnacentral:tRNA from 1 species